rnacentral:misc_RNA from 1 species
AACGCACAUUGCGCCCUUUGGUCUUCCAUGGGGCAUGCCUGUUCGAGCGUCAUUCAAACCUUCAAGCCCCGCUUGGUGUUGGGCGCUUGUCCCGCCGCGUGCGUGGACUCGCCUUAAAACUAUUGGCGUCGACGUGUCGGCCUCGAGCGCAGCAGAAGAGUCGCUUCGGGACCGGCGCUACGGCUUGCCGUAAAACGACCACACCCAAUUCUUGACCUCGGAUCAGGUAGGGAUACCCGCUGAACUUAA